AAAAAUUACAAUCUCACAUAUAGGUGAUACAACAUAGUGCUGUAAUCCAUUAAGAGCCCUUUCUUAAUUUCAUUUGAAUACCUGUUGGGCCACAACAUAAGAUCAUAAAAAAUCUUGCUACAGUAAUGUGCAAUUCCUCAAAAACAUCCCAAAAGAGCUUGGAGUUCCUGCGCUUCCAUAUAUUCCAAAGGACCGUGAUAAGCACAGUAGAGUGAAUCUUGUUGAAAUAAGUUUCUUCUCAGAGAUCUUCAACUGAAUCAGCAUUGAGUGGAUGAAAACUUUGUAGUUUAGACCACGACAAGGCUAAGGAGGAGGAGCUGAUUAACAUAUGAGAAAUAUUCUCUAAUUCAUCACAAAAAGACAAUGGUUCGACUGGUAUAUGAGCACUAUCCACUCUCACUGUCUAUUACCACUACCGAACAAAUUGAGUAGCAAUAUUACUAUUAGCAGCAAUAGGGAGUAUAUAUCAGGGUCAAUCAGCAGCAUACAUAUAUUAGUAACGGCAUAUGAAGCAAUCGGCAAUAUACAUAUAUCGAUAGCAGCAUAUGAAGCAAUGAGCCACACCUCGAUUCUCUCUGUUAUGUUCUCAUCACAACCUGG
rnacentral:lncRNA from 1 species